GCCCGGUUGGUGUAGUGGAAAGCACACUCAGAACACAUUGCUUGCUUUUCUGUUCUUGGUUCCGGUCCUUAUACAGUUCCAAUUCUUACAGUUUCAACAUUUCUUUCCAAUCUGAGAGACCUUGGUUCAAUUCCAAGACCGGGCG